CACGGACAUAACGUCCAAACCCGCUCAAAGACCCAAACCCACAUAACUCUAGAACUGGUUAAAAGAAUUUUAUAAAGCACAAUGAUCGCACUUUUUUACUUUCUGGGAUUGGUGUUGAUGCUUCCAAAUAGUUUCCGAGAUGUUCCCAUUGAGUUUGGAGAAGAGAGAAGUGGAUUCCUUGAGCUUCUCAAACAUUUUCUUGGAAAUUGUCAAACGCCUGGUCUCUUCAUCUAACCCGUAUGAUUCAAACACACCCAUGAAGACUUUUCUUCAUACGACGUCACAUUUCAAACUCCAGCAAACGAGUAAGAUAUUUGAGUUGCCGUGCUUCAUAUCCAUUCCGUGUCUGCUGGAAGACCUGUGUGAUUGUUAUAUGAUACAGGCAAGGCCUUUGCUUUGGAUAAUGCGUGCAAACUAUUUGAUGAAAAAACCAUGGGGAUGUUGAAUUUCAGACUCUGAUCUCAUCUAGCUAGCUUCUCAGUAUUCUACUGUAAUGAUUUUUAUAUGACUGUAUAAACUUUUGGAGGCUUUCAUAUAUAUGGAAUGCAUAGGUUCUUCCCUCA